CUUUGAAAUCAAAUUAACAUCAAAUAUCAAAGCAGCUAAAUUUAAUAUCUCAGAAUUAUGACUUGAAAUAAACUUUAUCUCACAAUGAACUUUUCCCAUUUUUUUACUUAUUUAUUUAUUUAUUUUACUAUGCAACAAUUAAAUCAACUAACUGGUACCUUCAGGCUUCCUGAAUUUUUGAGGAAUGAAUAUGCCAGCAUCCUACUAUAUUUCAGUUGCCUUUUUUUGUUUUUUUUUUUACAAUUGUCUGACAAUUUUAAAUAGGAUAAAAAAAAGUAAAAAAAAAAAAAAGGCAAAUUAGACAAUAUUAGGAUAUUUGCCAACCUUUGCUGUGCUCUAACAUGAUGCAUGUCGAAGGCAAAAAUGUAUCUUACAAAGAGUUGUGCUUUGUGUGUAUGUGUGAAAGCAAAACACUUCCUAGUGUGUUGGUACCUAAUCCAUCUUGAGUCCAUUUGCAAUGGUAUCCUUUUUCACUCACUCUUUCUAAUCUCUGUUAUCCAUCUCUUAAUUAGCCUCUACAUCCCGUCCGCUCUGACAAACACGGAGACUUGAUCUCAUUUCAUGCGUUCUUUCUUGUUUUUUUCCAUCCCUUCUCUUCCUUUCCCAAUUUCCUCUCGAAGCUGACUCUCUAAAGUGCCGCCCAUGCGGAGUGCUGCCAGCCCUGUCGGGGCUGGCUGAUGGGGAACGUGGCGUAGUUCCCAAGGACAGUUUAGCCCAAGUGUGGAUCAUCCCGCUCACACGGUCUCAGAGUGCCACAGUCACCUGGAUAGAGACCAGAGAAACAGAUUUGUACCUCGCUUCCCUUUCUCUCCCGCUUGCCGGCCUUUUCUCUCCUUUAGUGUGCAGGCUCCCCGUGAGCCUUCUAUGUGUGAGAGAAACCGCUAGAAUGCACAUGGCAGGGACUGAUGGGAACUCGGACUAUAGAUGAUGCAUUUUCCUGUCAAGAUGCUUUAGCAGACACAGAUGAUCACUCUGCCCCCGAGAAACUUCAGAAGAAAAUCUCAGUGGGAUUAAUUGAAGGAGGAAAGCAAGAGAAUGCGAGAAGUGGUAAGACAUGGAAACCAGGGGAAACAUGGAAAAACAAUCUCUUGUGUCCCCGAGGGAUGGAGUGA
ensembl:lncRNA